AUUGGAAGCGCCAUCCUCUUGCGCGUCUGAUGAGGAAGCAGAACCCGGUGACCGACUGAGCUGCAUUUCUGAAGCAUUUGCUGGGUUUUGCCUCACUAAGCCUCGGGGAGCACUGGGGCGCGGGAUGGGGGACCCUGUCACGGAGCCGACACCUGCUCGCGCGCCUCUCCCCCGCUCACGCCGUGCCGCGGGCUCGCCCUCCCCAUCUGCAGCGCCCGCAGCGCCUGCCCGCCCCGCCCAUCCUUCCUCCUGGGCAACCCAGAGGAUGGCGUGAGGACUCCUGGAAGCCCAGAGGACCGGACCAGGGGCGUGGUGGGGAGCCGUAGACCCGAGUUUUUAUCCUUCUCUGGCGCCGACACUCGGCUGCGGAAUCGAGUUUGAGCUCGGUGUAGCUGAAGUUUAAAUUGUAGCUGUUUCAAAGGUAGACCCCACCUCACCCCCACCCCUGGACCAAGACCUCUGGAAGCGUCCUGCCUGGAAGCCGCUUGUGGGGAGGGCUCUCCUAGGGUCUCCAGGCUCCCGCUGGAGCACGCCUGGAGAUGCCUUGGGAGUCUGAGGAACCCCAGAUUCAGCACCCCUGCUUAACCUGCUUUUAAGAAGAAAAAAAUGGAACUUGAUAAACUUCACUCAAAGGAGAGACCCACUAAUAACUCCACACACCUCACACCGAGUGAAGACGCUGAGACAAUGUAUGUGUGCUCCAGGAAUGACUGGAUGAAACAAAAAGAGAGUCUGGAUGCCAUUAAAAUGUUUGACUAUUGGAUUCCCACGGUUUGGGAUGGGAAGCAGAACUCGGUGAAACUGUAGGUUCUGUGUCCGGGCCAAGCGUUGCUGAAAGGUGGAAGAAUUCAUGGAAAGAAGGUUAUACCAGAAACCAAGAUCUGCUUUUUAAAAGGGAACAUGUACGCUCAUGUUUUGGCUUGAAUUCACUGCCUUUCACCUAUGUGUGGUCCCUCCUGUGCCGAGUCAGCAUGGAGUUCAGGUGGUGGAAGACAAACAGCUCAGAGCUGGACUCAGAACUUGGCAGAGUCCUGCUUUCAACUACAUGCAGCCAGAAAACUCUGGAAAACUGAACUGUUUAUUGGGGUCAAACUUUGGUAAGUCCGAUAAAGUCUGGCUCCAGGUGUCAAUCUAGUCUCUUGAAAGAAUUGCCCAGAAGCUCACUGCUGACUGGCUGGAUGUUACCAGUGGCAUACAGCCUCUGCUUGUGGGUGGAAUCCGGCAGCUCGGACACCGCCCCACGGUUCCUGAUGCAAGCCUGGGCAGGAGCUAGAGCUAGGGGCUUGCAGCCAAGGAGGAGAUAAGUCCAGGGGAGCCCUGCAGGCUAUCAAACCAUCUGCCAGCUGGACUCGCUCCAGGCCACUGGUGACCCUUGCCAUGACACCGGACACCAGUAGCAAGAAAGCCUGCAAUCCAGUAUGCUUCUCUUUUCCUUUCUACAGGACUCCUAGAGUGGAGCUAGCUCCCGUCCUUCCAAAUGCAGCAAUGACAUUAAGGACAUUCGUUCACAUGGUUCACAGUUGGUGUUGGGAAGUUGUCCUACCUGGACAUUGCUGUCAGAGCCAUGGACUAAAAUACUCAAUUCUGGCCUAAAUAAAGCAAGCUCUCGGUGUUAAAGACUUUUUUUUUUUUUUUUUUUUUUUUGAGAUGGAGUCUUGCUCUGUUGCCCGGGCUGGAAUGUAAUGGUGUGAUCUCAGCUUACUGCAACCUCCACCUCCCAGGUUCAAGCAAUUCUCCUGCCUCAGCCUCCUGAGUAGCUGGGAUUACAGGUGCACGCCACCAUACCUGCUAAUUUUUGUAUUAUUAGCAGAGGCGGGGUUUCACCAUGUUGGCCAGGCUGGUCUCCAACUCCUGGCUUCAAGUGAUCCACCCGCCUCAGCCUCCCAAAGUGCUGGGAUUACAGGCGUGAGCCACAGUGCCUGGCCUUUUUGAGGAUUAUUAUAAGUAAAA